rnacentral:rRNA from 1 species
GAUGAACGCUGGCGGCGUGCCUAAUACAUGCCAGUCGAGCGAACAGACGAGGAGCUUGCUCCUCUGACGUUAGCGGCGGACGGGUGAGUAACACGUGGAUAACCUACCUAUAAGACUGGGAUAACUUCGGGAAACCGGAGCUAAUACCGGAUAAUAUAUUGAACCGCAUGGUUCAAUAGUGAAAGACGGUUUUGCUGUCACUUAUAGAUGGAUCCGCGCCGCAUUAGCUAGUUGGUAAGGUAACGGCUUACCAAGGCAACGAUGCGUAGCCGACCUGAGAGGGUGAUCGGCCACACUGGAACUGAGACACGGUCCAGACUCCUACGGGAGGCAGCAGUAGGGAAUCUUCCGCAAUGGGCGAAAGCCUGACGGAGCAACGCCGCGGGAGUGAUGAAGGUCUUCGGAUCGUAAAACUCUGUUAUUAGGGAAGAACAAAUGUGUAAGUAACUAUGCACGUCUUGACGGUACCUAAUCAGAAAGCCACGGCUAACUACGUG